UACGGGAGCUGGUUGGCUGCUUUUGCUGGGGCAGAGUGACGUCAUGCACUAUUUGCGGCGGAUUGGGAUGCUGUGUGUAGGAACUAGCGAGGCUGAGAGGGAGCGAGCGGAGGGUCGGGGCCUGUAAACGGUACAGGACAAGCGGGAUAGUAACUAAUUUGUUGGACCUUACUCUCCUUUUGUAUGUUGCUUGGUAGACAAAGCUAAGGGGAACGUGGAAUUUCUACCCCACUGCCUAGGCAAGUGGGGAGAGAUGAGAGGCAGUGUAAGGCAGAUAAGGCAGCUGGGAAGUUGGAAAACUGGUGGUGGAUAAACCCAAAUGUCAAGAUGUCAUCUUCAGUUACCUAUUCAUGAAGACCUUUAAACCGUUGAGAAGAAAAACAUUUUCCUCCCCUGACCCAGAAGUGCUUUAGUAGGCUCUGGGACAUAUUCAGGUGACUUUUUCUACAGCUGGUCUGUUUGCUGCUGUCGUCCUGCAGAGAUGCCAUUUACACUGUGAACAUUUUGCCAGUCUUCGCAAAGUUGAAGUAAAAUGAAGCAAAGGCACCCUAGC